rnacentral:lncRNA from 1 species
ACAUGUGCUUCUGAUAGAAAUUGAUAUACUUUAUUUCUUCCAUCAGCUCUUGAGAAUCCAUUUCUGUGUGGCAGCAGAAAAUACCUUUGGCAGUUCCAGGUAAGUCUGGUGAUUCCUAGAGUUAAAUUGUGUAACAUCAGCCUUCCCUUAUUUUCUGGAACACCUGUGAUCUGUGGAGGCCUGUGUGCAUCACCUCAGAAGUGAGGCUGUGUGACCCUGAAGAGAGCUGACACCAGGACCCUGCCGUGAGUGGUGUUCACAGCCCCUGUAGCCCGGGAAUCAAAGGUGGGUGAAUUUCUAAAUCUAAGAAUAUUUUUUUCUUCUGAUGAAAGCAAUUUAUGAAUUAUGAAUGAAAACUUACAGUUUUUCUCUCCCCCACAAAAUUAACAAAGACUGUUUUUAAUGUUAAGAAGACAUUAUAAAGCAGUUCGAAUUCAUUAUGAAAUUCAUAUUUCUUGACCUUGUGAUACCCCUUAAAAGAACAUGUGCAUAGAUUGACUAUAGAAAAUAUGAUUAUAUAAAUAUUAUGGCAUCGUUAAGGAAGUUGGAAAUCUCAAACUUUAAGAUGGU